AACGUAGGAGACAAACGUUAUCCGGAGUUACUGGGCGUAAAGGGCGUGCAGGCGGUUUCUUAAGUUCGUCGUGAAAUCGCCCGGCUUAACCGGGCGGGGUCGAUGGAUACUGGGAGACUUGAGGGCGGUAGAGGCGUGUGGAAUUCCGGGUGUAGCGGUGAAAUGCGUAGAGAUGUGGAGGAACACCGAUGGCGAAGGCAGCCUUCUGGGCCAACACUGACGCUCAUGCACGAAAGCGUGGGGAGCAAACAGG
rnacentral:rRNA from 1 species